ACCGGCGCACGGGUGAGUAACACGUAUGCAACCUGCCCCUGUCAGGGGGACAACCCGCCGAAAGGCGGGCUAAACCCGCGUACAUGCCACCGGGGCAUCCCGGAGGCAGGAAAGGCUUCGGCCGGACAGGGAUGGGCAUGCGGCGCAUUAGGCAGUAGGCGGGGUAACGGCCCACCUAACCGACGAUGCGUAGGGGUUCUGAGAGGAAGGUCCCCCACACUGGUACUGAGACACGGACCAGACUCCUACGGGAGGCAGCAGUGAGGAAUAUUGGUCAAUGGUCGGGAGACUGAACCAGCCAAGCCGCGUGAGGGAUGAAGGUACAGAGUAUCGUAAACCUCUUUUGUCAGGGAACAAAGGCGGGGACGUGUCCCCGGAUGAGUGUACCUGAAGAAAAAGCAUCGGCUAACUCCGUGCCAGCAGCCGCGGUAAUACGGAGGAUGCGAGCGUUAUCCGGAUUUAUUGGGUUUAAAGGGUGCGCAGGCGGUCUGUUAAGUCAGCGGUCAAAGCCCGGGGCUCAACCCCGGCCCGCCGUUGAAACUGGCAGUCUCGAGUUGGAGAGAAGUAUGCGGAAUGCGCGGUGUAGCGGUGAAAUGCAUAGAUAUCGCGCAGAACUCCGAUUGCGAAGGCAGCAUGCCGGCUCCACACUGACGCUGAGGCACGAAAGCGUGGGUAUCGAACAGGAUUAGAUACCCUGGUAGUCCACGCAGUAAACGAUGAAUGCUG
rnacentral:rRNA from 1 species